GAUGAACGCUGGCGGCGUGCCUAAUACAUGCAAGUCGAGCGAACGGACGAGAAGCUUGCUUCUCUGAUGUUAGCGGCGGACGGGUGAGUAACACGUGGAUAACCUACCUAUAAGACUGGGAUAACUUCGGGAAACCGUAGCUAAUACCGGAUAAUAUUUUGAACCGCAUGGUUCAAAAGUGAAAGACGGUCUUGCUGUCACUUAUAGAUGGAUCCGCGCUGCAUUAGCUAGUUGGUAAGGUAACGGCUUACCAAGGCAACGAUGCAUAGCCGACCUGAGAGGGUGAUCGGCCACACUGUAACUGAGACACGGUCCAGACUCCUACGGGAGGCAGCAGUAGGGAAGCUUCCGCAAUGGGCGAAAGCCUGACGGAGCAACGCAGCGUGAGUGAUGAAGGUCUUCGGAUCGUAAAACUCUGUUAUUAGGGAAGAACAUAUGUGUAAGUAACUGUGCACAUCUUGACGGUACCUAAUCAGAAAGCCACGGCUAACUACGUG
rnacentral:rRNA from 1 species